GUGGAUGUGGUGCAUGGCGCACCGCUGCAUUCAAUAAUUUGUAUAACUCCUCGUGAAGCAGCCGAACGGGGUUCGACUCCCCGUGUCUACA